rnacentral:rRNA from 1 species
AGCGAACGCUGGCGGCAGGCCUAACACAUGCAAGUCGAACGAACCUUUCGGGGUUAGUGGCGGACGGGUGAGUAACACGUGGGAACGUGCCUUUAGGUUCGGAAUAACUCAGGGAAACUUGUGCUAAUACCGAAUGUGCCCUUCGGGGGAAAGAUUUAUCGCCUUUAGAGCGGCCCGCGUCUGAUUAGCUAGUUGGUUGAGGUAAUGGCUCACCAAGGCGACGAUCAGUAGCUGGUCUGAGAGGAUGAUCAGCCACAUUGGGACUGAGACACGGCCCAAACUCCUACGGGAGGCAGCAGUGGGGAAUCUUGCGCAAUGGGCGAAAGCCUGACGCAGCCAUGCCGCGUGAAUGAUGAAGGUCUUAGGAUUGUAAAAUUCUUUCACCGGGGACGAUAAUGACGGAACCCGGAGAAGAAGCCCCGGCUAACUUCGUG